UGGGGAAUAUUGGACAAUGGGCGCAAGCCUGAUCCAGCCAUGCCGCGUGAGUGAUGAAGGCCUUAGGGUUGUAAAGCUCUUUCGCCGGUGAAGAUAAUGACGGUAACCGGAGAAGAAGCCCCGGCUAACUUCGUGCCAGCAGCCGCGGUAAUACGAAGGGGGCUAGAGUUGCUCGGAAUUACUGGGCGUAAAGCGCACGUAGGCGGUUUCUUAAGUCGGGGGUGAAAACCUGGAGCUCAACUUCAGAACUGCCUUCGAUACUGGGAAACUUGAGUUCAGGAGAGGUGAGUGGAACUGCGAGUGUAGAGGUGAAAUUCGUAGAUAUUCGCAAGAACACCAGUGGCGAAGGCGGCUCACUGGCCCGAUACUGACGCUGAGGUGCGAAAGCGUGGGGAGCAAACA
rnacentral:rRNA from 1 species